rnacentral:rRNA from 1 species
UAACAGAGGUUUGAUUCUGGCUCAGAUUGAACGCUGGCGGGAUGCUUUACGGCAAGUCGAACGGCAGCACGGACUUCGGUCUGGUGGCGAGUGGCGAACAGGUGAGUAAUACCAUCGGAACAUUGCCCUAAUGUAGAGGAUAACAUACGCGAAAGCGUAGCUAAUACCACAUGCGCCCUUCGGGGAAAGCGGGGGACCUUCGGGCCUCGCACUAUUAAAUAAACCCAUUAUCGGAUUAGCUAGUUGGUGGGAGUAACAGCUCACCAAGGCGACGAUCCAUGGUUUCCCCGAAGGACGACCAGCCACACUGGGACUGAGACACGGCCCAGACUCACAGGAGGCAGCAGUGGGAAAUUUUGGACAAUGGGGAAACCCUGAUCCAGCCAUCCCGCGUGUGCGAUGAAGGCCUUCAGGUUGUAAAGCACUUUUGGCGGAAAGAAACUGGCACGGGAUAUGCCCCGUGCAACUGACGAGAAACCUGCAGAAUGAAAGCACCGGCUAACUACGUGCCAGCAGCCGCGGUAAUACGUAGGGUGCAAGCGUUAAUCGGAAUUACUGGGCGUAAAGCGUGCGCGGGCGGUUCGGAAAGCUGUGAAAUCCCAGAGCUUAACUGCAUUUUUAACUACAAAGGCUAGAGUGUGUCAGAGGGAGGUGGAAUUCCGCGUGUAGCGGUGAAAUGCGUAGAUAUGCGGAGGAACACCGAUGGCGAAGGCAACCUCCUGGGAUAACACUGACGCUCAUGCACGAAAGCGUGGGAGCAAACAGGGGUCGAUACCCUGGUAGUCCCGCCCUAAACGAUGUCAACUAGCUGUUGGGGCCUUCCCGGGCCUUGGUGGCCCGCAGCUAACGCGUGAAGUUGACCGCCUGAGAGUACGGUCGCAGAUUAAAACUCAAAGGAAUUGACGGGGACCCGCACAAAGCGGUGGAUGAUAUGGAUUAAUUCGAUGCAACGCGAAAAACCUUACCUACCCUUGACAUGUCUGGAAUCCGAAAAGAGAUUUGGGAGUGCUCGCAAAGAGAACCGGAACACAGGUGCCACGCUGGCUGUCGUCCAGCUCGUGGUGGCAGGAUGUUGGGUUCGGUCACAACAAAUAAUAUGCCGUAGUUGCUACGAAGGGCACUCUAAUGAGACUGCCGGUGACAAACCGGGGAAAGGUGAGGAUGACGUCAAGUCCUCAUGGCCCUUAUGGGUGGGGCUUCACACGUCAUACAAUGGUCGGGACAGAGGGUCGCCAACCCGCGAGGGGGAGCCAAUCCCAGAGGCCCGAUCGUAGUCCGGAUCGCAGUCUGCAGCUCGACUGCGUGAAGUCCGGAAUCGCUAGUAAUCGCCGGAUCAGCAUGUCGCGGUGAGAAUACGUUCCAGGUCUUGUACACACCGCCGUCACCAUGGGGUGGUUUACCGUGGUUAGCCUAACCGCAAGGGGCGAUUACCACAGUAGGAUUCAUGACUGGGGUGAAGUCGUAACAAGGUAG